rnacentral:rRNA from 1 species
ACGAACGCUGGCGGCGUGCUUAACCCAUGCAAGUCGAACGGUGAUGCUCCAGCUUGCUGGAGUGGAUCAGUGGCGAACGGGUGAGUAACACGUGAGCAACCUGCCCCAGACUCUGGAAUAAGCGCUGGAAACGGCGUCUAAUACUGGAUACGAAACUGGCCCGCAUGGGCAUGGUUUGGAAAGUUUUUCGGUUUGGGAUGGGCUCGCGGCCUAUCAGCUUGUUGGUGAGGUAAUGGCUCACCAAGGCGACGACGGGUAGCCGGCCUGAGAGGGCGACCGGCCACACUGGGACUGAGACACGGCCCAGACUCCUACGGGAGGCAGCAGUGGGGAAUAUUGCACAAUGGGCGAAAGCCUGAUGCAGCGACGCCGCGUGAGGGAUGACGGCCUUCGGGUUGUAAACCUCUUUCAGCAGGGAAGAAGCGAAAGUGACGGUACCUGCAGAAGAAGCACCGGCUAACUACGUG